rnacentral:rRNA from 1 species
CAGGCAUCCCACCCGCACGGCCUCGCCCUAGGGUUUCUCCGUCUCUCUCUCUCUCUCUCUCCCCCGUUUCUCUCCUCCCAAUCGAAUCGGAAUCCAUGGAGUCGUCGCGGUCGCGGAAACGCACGCGUCAAGAGUUGGACAGCGCCGGCGACCCGCCGCCGGAGCGGGAGGUAGCAAGGGGUGGCGCGUCGCCGCCUUGGCGGGAUGACGACCGCGACGGCCAUUACGUGUUUGAUCUCGGCGAGAACUUGACCCGUCGGUAUAAAAUCUUGAGCAAAAUGGGUGAAGGUACUUUUGGCCGAGUUUUGGAAUGCUGGGACCGUGAAACACGUGAAUAUGUUGCAAUAAAAGUUGUCAGAAGCAUCCGGAAGUACCGGGAUGCUGCAAUGAUUGAGAUCGAUGUGCUCAAUCGCCUUGCAGAAAAUGAGAGAUACAGAUCCCUCUGUGUCCAAAUUCAAAGAUGGUUUGACUAUCGCAACCAUAUAUGCAUUGUAUUUGAGAAGCUUGGGCCAAGCUUGUAUGAUUUUCUAAAGAGAAAUAGAUACCAACCUUUCCCUGUGGAACUUGUGCGGGAGUUUGGACGACAACUGUUGGAAUCUGUAGCAUAUAUGCACGAAUUACGCCUUAUUCACACUGAUCUGAAGCCAGAAAACAUACUCCUCGUAUCUUCCGAAUAUAUAAAGGUUCCAAGUUCCAAGAAGAAUUCACAAGAUGAGAUACACUUCAAGUGCUUGCCAAAGUCCAGUGCCAUAAAGCUGAUAGAUUUUGGUAGUACCGCCUUUGAUAAUCAGGAACAUACCUCGAUUGUUUCUACGAGGCAUUACAGGGCACCUGAAAUAAUCUUAGGCUUAGGCUGGAGUUUGCCAUGUGAUAUUUGGAGUGUUGGUUGCAUCCUCGUUGAGCUAUGCUCGGGGGAGGCAUUGUUUCAGACACAUGAGAACCUGGAACACCUAGCAAUGAUGGAGAGGGUUUUGGGACCCGUACCAGAGCACAUGAUACGGAAGGCUAGUUCAUCAGCUCAGAAAUAUUUUAGGCGAGGGACACGUCUAAAUUGGCCUGAAGGUGCUGUUACAAGAGAAAGCAUCAGAGCAGUCAGAAAACUACACCGGCUAAAGGACUUGGUUGCGAGAAAUGCUGACCAUUCGAAGGCAUCACUGGCGGACUUGCUAUAUGGUCUUUUAAGGUUUGAGCCUUCAGAGCGCCUAACUGCCCAAGAGGCUCUAGACCAUCCAUUCUUCCGAAUUCCAGGUCCAACAUGACAAUUGGAAGAUGCUUUGAUUCCGCCGCUCGCCAAGAACAAGGCCUGGAGAAGCAGCGGGCACAAAGCCGAGAGCAGAAUGCCUUUGGCUAAUCUCUAGCAUAAAGAUGAUGUAAGCCGAGCUAUGGCGCUUGCGGUGGUGGUGAUAAGCUGUUGUUCCAGUCGUUCAGGUGUAAUGUACAAUAGCAUUUUUCCUAGGGAGGUUAGUGUACUGGAUGCGACCUGUACAUUGUGAAGUUGCGGUGCACCACGGGUUGCCGUCUGAAUCCUGGUUUUGUAAUCGCACUACAAUGAUCACUGACCAAGGCAAGGCAGCCGUAAAGGAGGUGCUAGUAUUUUGCCUGCCUGUGCCAUGUUCUGUUUCUCGAGAAGUCUUGACAGGGCUGAGAGUCCCUGCAAAUUCAGACCAUGCUGUUGAAAGUUGAAAUUAAAUCAAGUUGUAGUAUGUUUUGAACUUAUCAAAAAACUGAAUUGUCGGAGACUUU